AAAAUGGAUGGCGCUC
rnacentral:sRNA from 1 species